UACGUAGGGCGCAAGCGUUGUCCGGAAUUAUUGGGCGUAAAGAGCUCGUAGGCGGUUUGUCGCGUCUGUCGUGAAAGCUUGGGGCUUAACCCCAAGUCUGCGGUGGAUACGGGCAGACUAGAGGCAGGUAGGGGAGAACGGAAUUCCCGGCGUAGCGGUGAAAUGCGCAGAUAUCGGGAGGAACACCGGUGGCGAAGGCGGUUCUCUGGGCCUGUACUGACGCUGAGGAGCGAAGGCGUGGGGAGCGAACAGG
rnacentral:rRNA from 1 species